AGAAUCAACGCUGGCGGCGUGCCUAACACAUGCAAGUCGAACGAGAAAGUGGAGCAAUCCAUGAGUAAAGUGGCGCACGGGUGAGUAACACGUGACUAACCUACCCUUGAGUGGGGAAUAACUUCGGGAAACCGAGGCUAAUACCGCAUAACACCUACGGGUCAAAGGAGCAAUUCGCUUAAGGAGGGGGUCGCGGCAGAUUAGUUAGUUGGCGGGGUAAUGGCCCACCAAGACGGUGAUCUGGUA
rnacentral:rRNA from 1 species